UACGGGGGGGGCAAGCGUUGUUCGGAAUUACUGGGCGUAAAGGGCUCGUAGGUGGCCAACUAAGUCAGACGUGAAAUCCCUCGGCUUAGCCGGGGAACUGCGUCUGAUACUGGAUGGCUUGAGUUUGGGAGAGGGACGCGGAAUUCCAGGUGUAGCGGUGAAAUGCGUAGAUAUCUGGAGGAACACCGGUGGCGAAGGCGGCGUCCUGGACCAACACUGACACUGAGGAGCGAAAGCCAGGGGAGCAAACGGG
rnacentral:rRNA from 1 species